rnacentral:ncRNA from 1 species
CUUAGAUAAUAGCAAACUCAUUGAAAAAUGAGGACGCAAAGCUGCGGGCCUAAUGAAUAAUUUCUAUGGUAGCCGGGUUGCCGAA